rnacentral:rRNA from 1 species
GAAGCGUGCGAUUGGAUUGCACGUCUAAGCAGUAAGGCUGAGUAUUAGGCAAAUCCGGUACUCGUUAAGGCUGAGCUGUGAUGGGGAGAAGACAUUGUGUCUUCGAGUCGUUGAUUUCACACUGCCGAGAAAAGCCUCUAGAUAGAAAAUAGGUGCCCGUACCGCAAACCGACACAGGUAGUCAAGAUGAGAAUUCUAAGGUGAGCGAGCGAACUCUCGUUAAGGAACUCGGCAAAAUGACCCCGUAACUUCGGGAGAAGGGGUGCUCUUUAGGGUUAACGCCCAGAAGAGCCGCAGUGAAUAGGCCCAAGCGACUGUUUAUCAAAAACACAGGUCUCUGCUAAACCGUAAGGUGAUGUAUAGGGGCUGACGCCUGCCCGGUGCUGGAAGGUUAAGAGGAGUGGUUAGCUUCUGCGAAGCUACGAAUCGAAGCCCCAGUAAACGGCGGCCGUAACUAUAACGGUCCUAAGGUAGCGAAAUUCCUUGUCGGGUAAGUUCCGACCCGCACGAAAGGCGUAACGAUUUGGGCACUGUCUCAACGAGAGACUCGGUGAAAUCAUAGUACCUGUGAAGAUGCAGGUUACCCGCGACAGGACGGAAAGACCCCGUGGAGCUUUACUGUAGCCUGAUAUUGAAAUUCGGCACAGCUUGUACAGGAUAGGUAGGAGCCUUUGAAACGUGAGCGCUAGCUUACGUGGAGGCGCUGGUGGGAUACUACCCUAGCUGUGUUGGCUUUCUAACCCGCACCACUUAUCGUGGUGGGAGACAGUGUCAGGCGGGCAGUUUGACUGGGGCGGUCGCCUC